rnacentral:rRNA from 1 species
GUGGGGAAUUUUGGACAAUGGGCGCAAGCCUGAUCCAGCAAUGCCGCGUGCAGGAAGAAGGCCUUCGGGUUGUAAACUGCUUUUGUACGGAACGAAACGGUCCUGGCUAAUACCCGGGGCUAAUGACGGUACCGUAAGAAUAAGCACCGGCUAACUACGUGCCAGCAGCCGCGGUAAUACGUAGGGUGCGAGCGUUAAUCGGAAUUACUGGGCGUAAAGCGUGCGCAGGCGGUGCUGUAAGACAGGCGUGAAAUCCCCGGGCUCAACCUGGGAAUUGCGCUUGUGACUGCAGUGCUGGAGUGCGGCAGAGGGGGAUGGAAUUCCGCGUGUAGCAGUGAAAUGCGUAGAUAUGCGGAGGAACACCGAUGGCGAAGGCAAUCCCCUGGGCCUGCACUGACGCUCAUGCACGAAAGCGUGGGGAGCAAACAGGAUUAGAAACCCUUGUAGUCC